GGUCUUUAGCUUGAUGGGAGUGAAGACAAACGGCCCCAGCUGGGGUUUGGGUUCCGCUGGAACGUGUGCCUCUCUGGGCCUCAGUGUCCCCGUGACUAUGGGCCAAGGGCAGAAGCCAUGGCAGCCUGGUCUCAGGAACAGAGCGAGAGCCAAGCGGGGGAGGUGGCAGUGCGGCCAUUCCUGACGGCCCGGGUCCUGUGAGGCCCGGAGGGCUCUGGGCUAAUGGCCUCUAGUGACUGGCACCUGGGCAGCCCCCAAAUUACCUUCCCUUGGCUACAAGUAGCUGGGAGGGAGGUGAAGAUUCCCAUUUCUGAGGGGCGUCCUGGGGGCACAUCAGGUUUGAGGCCAAUGACGCUUGCGGUCUGGGGCAGGUGGCACUGGUCUGGGCUGGAGGUGGGGAAGCCCCUGGGGCUGAGGGGGUGACUGAAGCUGUGUGUGGGUGGAGGGGCCCAGGGAGGAGAGGGGUGGCUGACGGGAAAGAGCAGCCAGGCUGGCGAGGAGGAGGGCAGAGUCCAAGGGAGAGAGGACACGUGGUCAUCCCCAGCCGGUGUGCCACGGCUGUGGCCUUGCAGAGCUUCACCUCCCACCUGCUGGAGGAUGCCGGGAGCCCCUACCUCAUUGGCAUUGUGAGUCACCCUGGGCGGGGGCUGGCCUGGGGAGGCUGGGGGCUUCGGGGGCUGUGCCCUGACACCCACCCCCACAUCCUCGCAGAUCUCAGACCUGAUCUGCCAGAGCACCAAGGACUCCCUGCUCUGGGAGUUCCUGAGCCUGGGCUAUGUGCUCAUGCUCUGCCCCUUCGUCGUGGUCCUGGGGGGCAUGUUCUUCCUCGCCAUGGUGCUCUUCUUCCUCAGCGACCGUGCCGAGGCUGAGCAGCAGUGAGUGGGGCUGAGGGGAGGCCUGCUGGGGAGCCCUGCUCGGGGGUGGCGGAGGGGAGACCUGGGUGCACCCAGUGGGUGGCCUGGUUGCUGGGGUCCAGCCCCCGGGCCUCCCCACACCUGUGGGGCUCAGUGCCAGCAUUGGCCUGGAGCUGUGGGGGGCCACAGGGGUGUCUGGUGGGUCCAGGCUUGGACUUGGUGGUUUUUGAAGCUGGGACCCCUCCCCAUUCGUUUUCCUCUCACCUUCUGACUUCUUUCUCCUUUCCUCUUUCCUCCUCUCUCUCCUCUCCCCACCCCUGGGCUCUCCCACCUCCCCCUGGGGCUGACGAGGUCCCUGCCCAGCACCUCCGGUCAGCUGGCCCCCACAACAUGAUGUGCCAGAGCAGUGCCCGGGCCCAGGCCCGGCCCCUGCUGACGCGCCACCCUGACCCCUGCCCGUCGCUCCCCCAGGGUGAACCAGCUGGUGAUGCCGCCCAAAUCUGUGAAAGUCUGAGGUGGUGAGUGCAGGCAGAGAGGCCCUCGGGAAGGGGGAAGGCCAGGGCUAGGUGACAGGGAGCA
rnacentral:lncRNA from 1 species